rnacentral:tRNA from 1 species
GCGCCCGUAGCUCAAUUGGAUAGAGUACUUGGCUUCGAACCAAGCGGUUGUAGGUUCAAGUCCUACCGGGCGCA